CACAGCUGAGAUCUCAGUUCUGCUUAGAAGGACAGCCAGUGACGGCAGAUGCGCCAGGCGGCCAGCUGGGACCCCCGGCCACCUGCUCCACCCGGCCCAGAGAGCAGCGUGUCCUUCACGCGGACAUCUGCUCGAGGUCUGCGCCAGCGUGAGUCACACGCUCGGCCGCCUCUUGUGACCGGAAGUGGUGACUGUCUCCCGCAGCGGCGGGGGCGUCCCGGCGGGGAGGCUUGUUCUCUCGGUUCCAGAUCAACCCGGCGGCCGUCGUGAAUGCACAGCGCGUCCCCUGCAGCCCAGCUCCUGCUCAGAAGUCAUGGUCCCUUCGCUGACCGUGGACUCGUGCCCCAAGCCAGCGCUUCCCUUGCCUUAACCCAACCCAAAGCCAGGAACCAGACGGCCGGGCGGCCACGAAGCAGCUGAUCCUGCUCACUUCCCCGGCCUACCCCAUGCCGCCGAUGUGGCAUUCGCCCAUCGCAUGUGAGGCCCCGGGUUCCACGCCCUGCAUGGAAACCAAAAUCCCACAGGAAUAAUCGAGAGCCCUCCGCAGUUCUACCUCUGACUUCCAAGUAGGAGGGAAUAACGGCUUCCCUUCUGCACUCUAUCCUGAGAUGAGAUUCCGGCCCCGGCCACCGAAAGAAUCUUGACAUAUA